CGCGUAGGCGGCCGUUUAAGUCAGAUGUGAAAGCCCGGGGCUUAACCUCGGAAGUGCAUUUGAAACUGGACGGCUUGAGUAUGGGAGAGGAAAGCGGAAUUCCUGGUGUAGAGGUGAAAUUCGUAGAUAUCAGGAGGAACACCUGUGGCGAAGGCGGCUUUCUGGACCAAUACUGACGCUGAGGCGCGAAGGCGUGGGGAGCAAACA
rnacentral:rRNA from 1 species